rnacentral:lncRNA from 1 species
ACCAAUAUAUGAUCACAAAUAUGGCUAGUAGUUAUAUAUAAGAAGAAAAGCACAGAACACAAAUAAUGGGACAGGGACAGAAAUGUUUAACACCACAGAAUUAUGUAUAUAUCACACAGGUAUUACAAACUGAGAAUUACUGUGGCAACUACAACACAUAGGGGGUAAACAUACACAUGCACAGGAGUGAACACACAUAUAUGCUGACAGAGCACUAACUACCAAAGCAACAAAAUAUUACAUAUCAGUUAGUUCCCAUAGCAACAAGACAUACACUAUUCUGAACAUAGAAUUUUACAGAUGAAAACUGAACAAUUGACAAGUUGCAAGCCCUUAUAGAAUCUGAAUAUUUCAAGUACUAAACAUCUCAAAUUACAUAAACUUCAGAGAGAACAACAGCAGUAGGAUGAGUGUGAAGGAGCAACAGAGACGCAAGAAAAGAAGCAGCAACAGAGACGUGGGAGAAGAAGCAGUAGAAAUAGCAGGUUCAGAGAAGGAACUGAAGGCAUUGGAGAAGGAGAUUAAGAGCAGCAGCAGUUCAGCAGGGGAUUCAGAGGAGGAGCAGCAACAAGGGGUGCAAGAAGAGAAGAAAGCACGAAGUUGAGGUUCAGAUUGUGAAGAAGAAGAGCAGCAGUAGUUUGAGGCAAGGGGAGAAGAUAGCAGCGGUAGGAGAAGAUAAGAGGAGCAGAGGCAGGGGCGUGGAGAAGGGAAGAGCAGCAGAGAGGGAGAGAGAUGGAUGGCGAUGGAGGAAGUGGUGGUGGCGCUGGAUGGUACAGGAAGUAGUGGCGCUGGAUGGUAGAGGAAGUGGUGGAGUUAAGGAGCGGGUGGAGGUGCUGGGCAGCGCUGGUUGGCGCACCGCCGCGCCGGCCUGUGGAGAUGGAUGGAUGGUUGGGUGGUGCACCACUACGCCGUCCUGUCCGCGGCGGCGGCCGGAGGUGGAGAAGGAGGUUGGGGGAGAGAGAUGUGUGCCAGGCCUGAAGGGGAUCGAAGGAGAUGGCUAGGGAUUUGACCCCUCUCGAUCAGAUCUGCCACUUUGCACUUUUGCCCUCCUUCUGUCUUCUUCCUUCCCAAGUAGAUCCCCUCUCUUCUAUAGUUAGCCCCUCUGGUUACUUCUUGUCUUCACACACAAGUCCAUUCUUCCUUCUCUUCUUUUCACUUGACUAAUUCUCUUAGCCACCUAGUCAGAUCUUGGAAGUUUAUAGUGCCUUUGCGCACUUUUCUGCAAAAGAAACAAAUGACGAGUAAAUGGUCUUUUAUAUGAUUUUCAUCCAAAUAUAUCACAGUUCAUAGUAAGAAUGGAUGAACAUAUAUCAACAAAUGGUGUAUAUAUGUGCCAAAAUUAUGUAUAUGAAAUGUGCUGACCAAGAGCUCUACGGUAUGACACACAAGGACACAUGGAAGGAGCUGUUCAAGGCCUCUAAAAUACCUCCUCCCUCAUCCGAGGACCACAGACUUCACGUCACGCGGCUCCCCCGUCCGGUGAGUUUUCUGACCAUCACCGGAUGUAAUUUUUCCCAGCGUACUCAUGGGAGGAUCUUAAAUCAUCGUGUGUAUUUCAUUAGGAGUAUGUGGUAACGGUGGAGCGGAUUGACUGUCCGGCUCCACUGCCAGAAGGUCCAGCAAAUGCUCUCCUGACGGAGAUGCUAGUUCCUGCGCCCUACAAGGCGCCGGAAAAGAAGGCCGAAAAGAAGGCCCCGGGGACCAGGAACGGUCUCCAGCGUAAGGUUGUACCGGACGCUUCAUACGAAGACGACGAGGCACACUCCUCCCCCAAAGGGGAGGAGGAAAAGGAAGGGGCCGCUCCACCCGAGGGGGCCGAAGGGCCUAAGAGGGCGACCCAGGGGACCAGGAAGGGUCGCCGGUGCAAGGCCUUCAUAAACUCGUCGUCUGAGGACGACGAGGCAGAUUCCUCCCGUGGAGGCGGGAGGAAACAUGAGGAAAAUCCGCCUCCCCGCACUGGGGAGGAGAAGAAAAGGAAAGCCACCCCAGCGGGGGAGGCCAGGACGCCCAAGAAGGGAUGUGUCCCUUCCGGAUUACUCCACCAUGGCCGCCUAUAGCAAGGAGGAGCGGCUGCCCAGGGGGAAGCCCCUAGUAAUAUCGUAAGUAUCUGCACUCUGUUGUACUUUAGCGCGAUUUCGCUUCAUAGUCUGUCAUAACGCCGAACAUGUAUAUGCAAUCCAGCCAGGGUUCAUCCCGAGGUAUCCUCUUCGGAUGGGUCCUUGAGGGAUUCGGUGAUGAACUCACUCCCAACAGCCACUUCCCCUCGGCCUGCGGAUGACACGGAGGUGUUGUCCCAAAGGCUCCCAUAGUAGGGGGGUCGCUUCUGGAGAUGCCCCAAGGCGAAAUUCCAGACGCCAGGCACCCGGGGCGUAAGAUCCCUACGGAUUGUGCCGACGAGAGCCGCAGCAAGCCGGGCUCCCAGCCGGACACUAUGUUGGAACCCCCAAAGGUUCCGAACUCGGGCAGGCAGCCCCUCGCCAAGGAGGGCGAGCCGUCCGUGCUGAUGACUUACGUUACACCAGGGGCGUCGGAUAGUCUGCUGGAAGCGCUUCACGACGCUUCCAUGGAUGAAGAGCACCGUACUCUUAUGAGUGCGGUGAUUCAGAAGGUUCGGUCCACCAAGAGCGAAUUAACCGAAGCCUGCACCAGCCUCCUGGUAGGCUUUGAGGUAAGUAAUCAAAAAUGUGUGAAAUUAUCACCCGAUAGGUAGUAGCCCUGACACUCCGUUUGGUGUUCGGAAAGAAAAGCCAAACGGAGGGUCAAUUAUAAUCUACAGGAGUUUAAUAGUAGGUGUUUAUGUGAAUAAGCAGGCAGUGCUGCUUGCCGCUGCUGCCCGAACGGCCGAGGUCGCUGGACUCAAACGGGACCUUAAGCAGGCCGAAGAGGAGCUCGGCCUUACAAAGGGGCAGUUCGAAGAGAACAAAGGUGAGUGGUACCCCGUUCACAUAUCAUAUAGAGGAGAGGAAAGAAAAUUGGUUAUGCUAACGAAAAGCAUCAUGAUUUUGUAACAGGGCCAUGACCGAAGUGGCGUCCCUGAAGAAAGCGCUAUCCGAGGCCGAAAACAAGGCGGCCAUGGAGCGCAUUGAGCGUGAAAAGCAAGAUGCUAGGGUGGGCGAGGUACAGCAAGAGCUCCAGGAGCUCGACAAGAAGUUCGAGUCCUUGGAGCGUAACUUCAAGAUGAAGGAGUCCAAACUUGCGAAGGCCCUGUUGAGCAUAAAAGACGCCAAGGCCGAAGCCGAAAAGGCCCAGCAGGAAAUCCAGGCGGCCAAGAAGAUAGCGGCGGGUAAGACAUUCUUUAUGCAAAGCAAGCAUGUGGAGGAGACGUUUCUUUUACUUACCAGAAUUCGGAGCUCUCUAGGGGCAUUCCCAGAUCUGCCACGCAGCAUAUCAGAUGCCGCGGAGUUCUACCGUGCCGAGGAGGGGAGCUCAACAGAGAAGCUGUUCUGGUCCCAGUAUGCUGGAGCCGAACACCCGGUGCCUCUGAGUGACCAAUUGAAGCAAUUGGUUGAACUCCACAGGGCGACCAAAGUGGCUAUGAAAGAUUUCAUUGUCUGCAUGUGGCCUGGUGAGCCCCUGCCCGCCAGCUACUUUGGCCUGAUAAAGCGGAUGGUAAAUGCCUGUCCGUGGCUUGAAGUUAUCAAGCGAUCCGUUUGCAUUGAGAGUGCCCGCGAGCCUUUGCCCGUACAAAGGUUCAUUGGGGCAAGCUGGAUGCGGAGAAGCUGGUGAAGGACGGCCCGCCGGAGGGCAAGGCGCAUCGUUGUCCCGAAAAAUAUUAUGAUGUCGUUAUGAAAGGUGCUCGUCUCGUGGCCGAUGAAUGUACCAAGGAAACGAUCUUUGAGUGAAUGUACUUCUGUCGUUGUUGUAAUACAAAGACGAAGUUACUUGCGCUAUAUAGCGCUUUUUUUGAUUUAAAAUAUUACCUUUUGUGCGGCUGUUUAUAAAAUUCUGAAAGUAGGCCUGUCGUCGGCUUCCGCCCCCGCAUAACUAGUACUAGGGUGUUCGUGGAAAAAACCCAGACACUCUUUAUCCAAAUUUUUGGUCCCUGAAGGAGGUGUUUGGCGCAGCGAACAAGGCAAUCAGACUAUGCGGCUUUAUAACUUUCACUUAGCCAUAGAAGUCUAUAAUUUUAAAUUUCGGCGAAGCCCCUAGAAUUCGGAAAGCCGAAUUGGGGCGCUAUAUACGCCUAAAUCGGACGAGGCCGAUUCCUCGCCUAAAGCGGAAAAAAUCUUUAAGGAUUUUAUGACCUCUCGAACAAUGACCAUCUCUCGCCGCAUCGUGCCGGUUAGUUUUCGGCUUUCUCUACUGAGGUGCUCGUCCGGAAGAACUAGGACACAAUCGUAGUAGUUCUCCCUGUGCUACCUUAGUCGAUAGAACGGAACGUAAGGUACCAAAACAAGGGAGCCGGGAAAACCGAACUAUUGACCCAAGAUAUGAUCCGGAGCUGAUGCAUAUAAUGCUAUAAGUUCGGGGUGCCGCACUGUUGAAAGUGUUUGGACUUAUCUUGCCGUAUUAUGGGGCGCCAUAAGAAGCCCCUGGCAAACUCAACGUACCAAGGACCAAUGUAGCUGAACCGCCGUGACGGAUGCUGGUAGGGUGAUCCCUGCGAUCAAAGGAGAUUGGACAGGCUGACCAUGCGUUGAAUUUUGGGGUGACUGGCUCCAUCGCAUAUACGUCCCGUAGUCCUCGCUUCCGUUCCCGUUUGAGAAUGUGGAUGGCGUAGAUCAUGUUGACUGUUUUCACCUGGGGAGGAAAUUUCUUCUGUCCCCCCGUGUUCGGACGCUGGGGCUCCUCGUCAUCGUCACUGUGCAGCCCCUUGUCCUUGUUUUCGGCGUUUAUUUUACCGGCGUGUUUGAACACCCAUCAGCCUCUAUUAGUGUGGUUUGCUGGCUUAUCCGGGGUGCCAUGAAUUUGGCACGAGCGGUCAAGUAUGCGGUCCAGACUGGACGACCCCUGAUUGUUUCUUUUGAACGACUUUUUCCGCUGACCGGAUUUCGAGCCACUGAAUCCGGCGUUGACUGUCGUGUCUUCAGUGUUGUUGUUGUUAUUCCGUCGCUUAUGUAUGUUGCGCCGUGUCUUGCCGUUAUUGUCGCGGACAUCUGAGGUGCCAGAAUUUAUUGGCGUGGUGCUACUACGAGCCAACCAGCUGUCCCCGCCCGCGCAAAAGCGGGUCAUGAGUGUCGUGAGGGCCGCCAUGGACUUUGGUUUUUCCUGGCCGAGGUGUCGAGCGAGCCACUCGUCAUGGAUAUUAUGCUUAAAGGCCGCCAGGGCUUCGGCGUCCGGACAGUCGACUAUUUGGUUCUUUUUGGUUAGGAACCGAGUCCAAAAUUUCCUGGCUGGCUCUCCGGGCUGUUGGGUAAUUUGGCUGAAGUCAUCGGCAUCCGGUGGUCGCACGUACGUGCCCUGGAAGUUGUCGGGGAACGCGUCCUCCAGGUUUUCCCAACUCCCAAUGGAAUUUGCUGGCAGGCUGUUUAGCCAGUGCCGGGCCGGUCCUUUGAGGUUAAGGGGAAGAUACUUGAUGGCGUGUAGAUCGUCUCCGCGGGCCAUGUGAAUGUGGAGAAGGAAAUCUUCGAUCCAUACUGCGGGGUCUGUUGUGCCAUCGUAUGAUUCUAUGUUUACGGGUUUAAACCUUUCUGGGAAUUCAUGAUCCAUCACUUCGUUAGUGAAGCAGAGGGGGUGUGUGGCGCCUCUAUGCCGGGCUAUGUGGCGACGCAGAUCGAAUGAGUCUGGUUGGCUGUUGUAGGACCUUGAAGUAUGUCUAGAGGGGGGGGGUGAUUAGACUACUUGACCAAUAAAAACUUAACCUUUUCCCAAUUUUAGAGUUUGGCAGAUUUUAGCUAUUUUAGGACAAGUCAAGCAAUCAUCAUACAAUUCAAGCAAGCAUGCAUAGAGUGUAUAGGCAGUGGAGAUUAAAGCAUGCAACUUGCAAGAAAGUAAAGGGAAGGGUUUGGAGGAUUCAAAUGCCUCACUAGCGGUAGAUCUUCACGAAGUAGGUGAUCUCCUUGCCCUUACAAACUCCUUGGUUCAACUCCACAAUCUUGUCGGAGGCUCCCAAGUGACACCUAGCCAAUCUAGGAGACACCACUCUCCAAGAAAUAACAAAUGGUGCAUCAAUGAUGAACUCCUUGCUCUUGUGCUUCAAAUGAUAGUCUCCCCAACACUCAACUCUCUCUCAUAGGAUUUGGAUCUAGUGGAAAGAAGGUUUGAGUGGAAAACUUGGGGAAGGCUAGAGAUUAAGAUUCAUAUGGUAGGAAUGGAAUAUCUUGGCCUCAACACAUGAGUAGGUGGUUCUCUCUCAGAAAUGGUAAGUUGGAAGUGUAGGUUUAGUCUGAUGGCUCUCUCCACGAAUGAAGAGGAGGCGGAGGGGUAUAUAUAUAUAGCCUCCACACAAAAUCUAACCGUUACACACAAUUUACCAAACUCGGUGGGACCGAAUCGUUAAACUCGGUCGGACCGAUUUAGUAAACCUAGUGACCGUUAGUGAUUUUGGGUGGGACUGACAUGCAUCUCGGUGAGACCGAUUCGGUUAGGGUUAGGGCAUAACUUAAUCUCUGUAGGACCGAUUACACAAACUCGGUGAGACCGAUUUGGUAAUAAGCUUUCCAGAGAGUUGGUCAGGUAAACUCGAUGGGACCAAUUUGCUCUUUUCGGUGAAACCGGAAUGUUACAAAAAGGUAACAGAGAGUUUACAUUGCAAUCUCGGUGGGACCGAUCGCUCACUUCGGUUCGACCAAAACGUUAUGAAGGGAAAUAGAGAGAUUACAAUCCCAUCUCGGUGAGAUCGAGAUCCCUAUCGGUAAGACCGAUUUGCUUAGGGUUUGUGGCAGUGCCUAUGACUUUUAGAAUCGGUGGCGCCGGAUUGGAAGAAUCGGUGUGACCGAUUUUGGCUUUGGGUUUAGGUCAUUUGUGGAUGUGCGAAAGUAGUUUAGGGUUUUGGAGCAUAUCACUAAGCACAUGAAGCAAGAGGCUAAUUAAGCAACACCUCAUCCCUUCUUGAUAGUAUUGGCUUUUCCUGUAGACUCAAUGUGAUCUUGGAUCACUAAAAUGUAAAAUGAAGAGUCUUGAGCUUUUGAGCUUGAGCCAAUUCUUUGUCCUUAGUAUUUUGAGGGAUCCACUUUCAUCAUCCAUGCCAUGCCAUUCAUUGAGCUUUCCUGAAACAAUAGUCUUGGAAUAACAUUAGCUCAAUGAGCUAUAUGUUGUUAUGAAUUACCAAAACCACCUAGGGAUAGUUGCACUUUCAAUUUCCCCCUUUUUGGUAAUUGAUGACAACAUAUAGAUCAAAGCUUCGACAAAUGAUAAUAACAUUUAAAUAACAUCGUCGCUUUGAGAAGUAUGUGAUAAGCAAGAGCUCCCCCUAAAUUUGUGCAUAGUUUUAGAUUUGCUUUGGACUACAAAUGCACAAUGAAUUAGGCUCAUGGGUUACUCUUCCAUGUCACAUACAUCUUGGUGGAGCGCUCAAAAUAAUAGACAAUGAAUACAUGCACUCAUUACCAAGCAUAGUGAGUGAUCACAUAAGAUAUAUAGGAUAAUAUCAUCAAACAUGCAUAAGUGUAGCUUAUGAUCAAACACAUGAUCAUCAAUGUCUCACAAGCAUAGUAUCUCAACCAAAAGCAAACAAAGAAUGAAAAACCACCAAAUAAAGCAAGAGAGAACAAAAGCAACACUCUCUCUCUCUCUCGAAGCCUAUGAUCUAUACAUUUUUCUCCCCCUUUGGCAACAAGUUACCAAAAAGUUCAUAGAAAAUGCAUAGUGCUAGAUCGACUCUUGGGCUUGAUCUUCUGGUGGUGGUGUCCUGAUGACUCCAAGGACGAAGGCUCCAGUUGAUGUAGAGGGUGCUGGAGUUGAUGCUAAAGCUGGUUGCACUAGAUCUGAAGGGGCAAUAGCUGGUGCUGAAGUUGUUGCUCUAGUGUCUGCCACUGGCACUGCAACUAACCUCUGGGCUCUGGUCACUCUGGCAAACACAUUGGUGGUAGUCUUACCCUUCCUCUCCUGCAUGUCAUCCUACAGCUGCUCCACAACUGACUGAAUCUCAGUUACCUUGACAUCUAGAUCAAAGAAUUUUUGUUCCAUGAUUCUUUCCAGGUUCUCCUGGUUUUGAGUUAGGGCGGCCAACCCCUUCUCAAUCCUCAGAGAUGAUGCUAUCAAGUAACCAAGCUGCUCCUGUUUGGUUUUCAAGAAAUAUUCAGAUGCCUCCUCUUGAGUUGGCAUCUUGGCAGCCUUCUCCCUCUUUGCCUUCUCCUUCUUCUCCUGAGCUUGAACUGAUGAUGGAUCAUCCUCAUUCAUGACAACCUCAUUGUCCUCAAAGUCUGGAUAAACUGGAAAGUGUUCCUUAUCCAACUGAUAUUUUCCUGUGCCCAUCUUUGAGUUUAUCAAUUCUUGAAUCUGAGGUGUAUAUCCAUAGCUCCUCUUCUGAUCUGCUGCAGUCCUCUUGAUUGUUUCAACUAUAAGGCUCAUGACUUUGAAUUUUUGUGGAACAUCAAAUAAAUGCAACAUAUUGAUGGCAUGCCCUUUGAUCAUGUUAUGGUCACCUGACUUGGGCAAUAAAGUGUGCCUCAGAAUCCAAUUUAUGGUAGCUAGCCCUGACAGCAGAAAGUGGACUGAUCCAAAAGUGAAAGUCUCUAGGGCUUUGUCUGGGAUCUCCUUGUACAUGUGUGCCAUGGUAUUAUGUCCCAUUUUCUUCUUGGCAUAUACAUCCAGAUCAUCAUCAUUUUCCUUUGGGGCAUUUAUCAGACUUGCCCAUUCUUCUACAGUGGACUGGUACCUUGUACCUUCAGACAUCCAAACUAUUCUACCAUCUGGGUAAAAAUGUGCUGUGGAGUAGAAUUGCAUGAUAAGUUCAUCAUUCCAAUUUUUGAGAUUUUGCCCAACAAAAUCUGCAACUCCACAAGCAACAAAGCUGUCUUUCACUCCAGGUUAGUGCUCUUCAUUCUCCUUGAUGUAUUUCCAGUCAACCCACCUCAUGUCACAGACUAUGGGUUUCUUGUCCAACAGAAUUGUUUCAUAGAAGUCCUGCUGUCCUUUGUAUGGAACCUGUAAUCAACAGCAGUUCUUCUCCUUGUGGCAUAUGGGUCUGCCAUCCUCCACAAUCUCAGCCCUGAAUCCUUCCUGAUUCUCAUGUCCUCAGCCACAGGAUGGGCAUCAUUGUGGUCUGGUAUCUUUGGCUUGAGCUUCCUUAGAACCUGUCCUUCUUCAUCUUCCUCCUCAGCAACCUCAGGCACUGGGGCCUUGUUCUUCUCAGCAGCUGGAAUACUCCUGGUAUUCCUCUUUGGUGCAGACUUGGCCUUGGGGGCAGCUUUGGGUGCUUCCUUGGGCUUAGAUGUUGCAGCCCCAGAUCUGAUUGCAUCACCCAUAAGCUUUGGUGCCGUUGGUGCUGGUGCAGAAAGCUCUUCCUCUUCCAUCAUUGAAGGUUGCCCUACAACUCUGGCUAUGGUCUUCUUGACCCUUUCCUUCCUCUUCUUGCUUUCAUUAGCUGGCUUUUUGGGAUCAGGAUUUUCAGGCAGUUGAGUUGAUGCCUGGCCUUGGGCAUAGGUUGCCUUCUUGCAGGCCUUUUAAUCUUCAUGCCUGGCUUUAUGUCCUUUGCUGAGCCAUAUUCCUUCUUGAGCACCACUUUCUUGGAAGUAGCCUCAUCUUCCUCAGCUUUGUAAUCUUCAUCCUCUGAAUCUGAAGUUCUUUUCCUCCUUUGCCUAGUUGCAGCCUUAGGCAAAUUGCUAGGAGUACUUCUGCUCCCUUCAUCUGAAGUACUGGAGGGACUAGUGCCCUCACUCAAGUUCAUCUGCUCUUCUGCCCUGUUCUGGCUGUCACUUUGAGCAGACAUUCUGCACAAGCUGACUGCUGACCCUGUGAAGAGUUAUAGAUGAGAUAGAAAACAUGAGCAUCACAAAAUGCAGAGUUUUUUGCAAAAGAAUGACUCAAAAGUUCACUUUUAGUUUUCCACAGAAAGCAUUUCGGAUCCACCGAUUUUUAAACUCGGUGAUACCGAAGCAGUUUUGGAACCUAAACUGAUGAUCUCGGUUGGACCGAGUUUCAGUUCGGUGGUACCGAGACUGCUAGGGUUUCACAGAAUUCUCAAAUUGGUUGCACCGAUUAGUAAUUCUCGGUCAGACCGAGAGUCACUAGUGCAAUGGCAUAAGCCAAAUCGGUGAGACCGAGUUUUUCAACUUGGUGGGUCCGAGAUGGUUUCGGCGGAAACCUAAACCUAAAAAUUUGAAUCACGUCUAAUCUAUGAACUACUUUGGCUGGAUAGAAGAGUUUCAAUCGUGGCAAGAAUCAAUAUGAAAACAAUGUGCCAGGAAUCAGACGUGGAUAGCACAAAGAUUAAGUCCAUACCCUAACUUGGCGGUGGACUUGCUACGGCGACAAUGGCGGGGACGAAAUCCGUUGACGGUGGAGGAGACCAGCGACAGGAGGCUGCUGGCGACGAGGAGACGAUUCGGAGACCACGAUGGCAGAGCGAGCUGUUGCGCGGGCGAAGGGUUUCGGAGAAAUUUCCAAAAUUUUGCCCGUGUCUAUAUAUAGCCCGACCCUGUCGGUGUGACCGAGUGGAACAACUCGGUGGCACCGAGAUGCAUAAUGUGUUCAGUUACAGCAAAUUGGUGAGACCAAAAAUUUCAAAUCGGUUGCACCGAGAUUGAAAACUCAGAUCAACUUGAUGAUCUCGGUAGGACCAAAAUGGAAGGAUCGGUCAGACCGAGAAUCACAAAGAGGUUUUGGAAGUUUAAGUCCAUGACGAAUUGGGGACUCCGAGUGCUCCUCACACAGAGUGGUUUGAAUCUGACUUGAUCAAAUUUUGUGAUGUAGCAUGAAUAGAGUUUGAGACGAGAAAAGCAUAGAUAGCUAAAUAAGGUUCUUAAGCAUUCUUGUCCAUCCACUUUGCACAAAGAAAAGAAUCCAAACAAACAAAACAACAAGUGGAUGUCCUUGAAUGAGUAAAAUAUGCACCAACAUGCUCACACAAUAAGAUGACAAUUGAAAUAUGUGGCAAAGCAUGCACAACCAAUUCUAGCAUCUAUCAAACAGUUGGCGAUGACUAGGUCAUCUAUAUAUGAGUAUAUUGACUUAGGAGUCAAAUGAGAACAUUUGAUCAUAGGUCAUACUCAUCGUUUAAGCUCAAGUGGGGUUACCACUUUUACAUAAUGCAUUUAUGUGUUCACACCAUUAGAGUUGCUUUGACUCAAUUCUUAGAGUUAAGCUCCCCCUAGAUUUGAGAUCCCCCCUUAGAGGGAUUAACUAACCUUGGGUUUUGUCGAUGAUGACUUCAUGUAGGUGUUGAAGAUGUAGAUGCUCAAUGUUGAUGUAAAUCCUUUGGAGUGAGUUGCACUUUCAACUUGCCUACAUGGGUUAGUCCCACAAGGAACAAACAAGAAUAUCCAUAGACAUAGAGUGAUGCACACACAAGACGAUGUCCAUGAAAACAUUAGGUUACGUUGUCCCUUGCCUUACCAACAUGAGGGUUUGUGACUCCUUGAACUAGUGCAAGAUGUGAAAGUUGAUUGCACUUGUUCUUGCCAAAAUGAUAUGAGUGAAGAAUGUUGGCGGAGUCACCCUCAAGAACUCUCUAGUUCUUCUUCUUUGGGAUCCACAUCAUCUUGAUGGGAAUCCUUGGAGUUGUAGUUGUACUUGAUCAAGUAGAACUUGACGUAGUCUUGGGAACCUACUUGACCAAGGCCUUGGGUGCUUCUUCAAAUGCAUCAAUCUCUUCUUGAAGCUUGUCCUUGCCUUUGUUCUUGUGGUCUUGUGGUGGAAGAUCAUCUUGAGCUUGUGUCCCUUUGAAGGAAGUAGGAUCAUACUUCUCUUGUUGAGGAACAAACUUUUGAUCUUCUUCUCACUCAACUCCAUUGGCGUUGAACUUUCGUUCAAAACCAACACCUUGAUUCUUCCGGUUCCUUCCUUGCUUGCGUACAAUUUCCUCGAAUUGCUUACUCCCGACAAGGCUCUUGUAAACACUUUUAUCUAUAAUUCCCUUCAAUAAACUAUUUUCCUGCUCAAGUGUAACUUGGCUAAGAGAAUCAUUAGUGGAAUCAAGAGAACUACUAGAAGCAACAAUAUUGGAUUUGACAUUAUUAUUGUUACUACUAGAGGAAGUAUCUUUCUUGUACUUGUUACUAGACUUGACUUGAGGCAUGUAAGUAGAUAAGAGUAAAUGCUUGGCAAUGUAAGAAGAACUUUUCUUGCGGAGAUCAUCAUUGAUUGCCUUUAAGAACUCAUGCUCUUGCUCAAGAUUGAGCUUUUCAAAGCGUAACUUCUCAUGAGCCCUUAAAAGUUCUCGAUGAUCUUCAAUGAUAGUUUCAUGAGCCAACUUAAGAGUGUUUAGUUCUUUAGUUAGAAGCUCAAUUUUAACCUUAUCAUUGUCAUUCGUUUGAUUAGCAUGAUUAAUUGACGUUUCAUUAUAGUAUUCAUCACUAGAGUUGCCAAUAAGUAAAUCAUCAUCCACAAGCAAGUCAUCUUCAUCACUAUUGAAAUCAACAUACUCGGGAUGUGUUACCUUUGGACCUUUGGCCAUGAAGCAUCUUCCAACACCUUCAUUUGGUGAAUCAAAUAUGUCGUAGGAGUUGGUUGACACAAGUGCUAGACCGGCAACACCUUCAUCUUGAGUAUAUUCGGAGUCGGAGUGAUAGCUUCUCUCGGAGUGUUUGUCGGAGUCGGAGCCGGAAACCCAUUCACAAACAUGAGCUUGAUGUCUUCGUUUUGUGUAGCUCCUUGAUGACUUUUCCUUUCUUUCCGAAUCCUUGCUUCUCCGUGAGGGUCUUCGUUCAUAACGAUCAUCUCUACUCCUCCUCUCUCUUGGUGGUGAUUCUUCUCUUUUGCUCCUUCUUCUUGGAGAAUCUUCUCUUCUUUUGUAGGGUGACGUACACUCAUUGGAGUAGUGUCCAGGCUUCCCACAAUUGUAGCAAUUGCACUCUCGACUAGAAGAUCUCUUGUCAUGAUAAGACCUUGACUUGGAGCUUCUUUCUUUGCUUCUAAUCUUGUAGAAUUUGUUGAAGUUCUUCACCAUUAAGCUUAAUUCUUCAUUGAAGGUUUGUUUCUCACUUGAUGAUGUGGGGGCUUCACUUGAGGCUUUGUAAGCACCACUUGACUUGUUGUGAAGUUCCUCCUUAUCCUUGAGUGACAUCUCAUGAGCAACAAUUCUUCCAAUGACUUCCGUUGGCUUGAGAUCUUUGUAGUUUGGCAUCAUUUGGAUCAAUGUGCACACGGUAUCAUACUUUCCAUCCAAUGCUCUUAGGAUUUUCUUGCUGAUGAAUUUGUCGGUCAUCUCUUCACUCCCUAAGCCGGCAAUCUCAUUUGUGAUAAGAGCAAGCCAAGAGUACAUUUCAGCGACACCUUCAACAUCCUUCAUUUUGAACUUGUCAAGCUGACUUUGGAGCACAUCCAACUUGGAUUCCUUGACAGAUUCGGUACCUUCGUGCAUAUCAAUCAAUGUAUCCCAAAUUUCCUUUGCAUUCUCAAGACGGCUGAUCUUGUUGAAUUCUUUGAGGCACAAUCCGUUGAAGAUGAUGUCACAUGCUUGAGCGUUGUAUUGCAGCAUCUUCAAUUCUUCCGCAUUAGCUUCACGGUUCGGUUCUCUCCCAUCAAAGAAUUCACCUUGCAAGCCAAUACAAAUAAUUGCCCAAACAGCGGGGUUAUGUCCAAGAAUAUGCAUUUUCAUCUUAUGCUUCCAACUAGCAAAAUAAGUACCAUCAAAGUAAGGACCUCUACGGUGAUAAUUUCCCUCGCUAGACGCCAUACUCUCCUAGGUUGUGAAACCAAGGCUAUGACCACCAAAAGCUAUGGAAAUCAAAGCAAAUGGAGACCAAGGCUCUGAUACCACUUGUAGGACCUUGAAGUAUGUCUAGAGGGGGGGUGAUUAGACUACUUGACCAAUAAAAACUUAACCUUUUCCCAAUUUUAGAGUUUGGCAGAUUUUAGCUAUUUUAGGACAAGUCAAGCAAUCAUCAUACAAUUCAAGCAAGCAUGCAAAGAGUGUAUAGUCAGUGGAAAUUAAAGCAUGCAACUUGCAAGAAAGUAAAGGGAAGGGUUCGGAGGAUUCAAACACAAUUGGAGACACGGAUGUUUUUGGCGUGGUUCCGAUAGGUGGUGCUAUCAUACAUCCACGUUGAUGGAGACUUCAACCCACGAAGGGUAACGGCUGCGCGAGUCCAUGGAGGGCUCCACCCACGAAGGGUCCAUGAAGAAGCAACCUUGUCUAUCCCACCAUGGUUGUCGCCCACGAAGGACUUGCCUCACUAGCGGUAGAUCUUCACGAAGUAGGCGAUCUCCUUGCCCUUACAAACUCCUUGGUUCAACUCCACAAUGUUGUCGGAGGCUCCCAAGUGACACCUAGCCAAUCUAGGAGACACCACUCUCCAAGAAGUAACAAAUGGUACAUUGAUGAUGAACUCCUUGCUCUUGUGCUUCAAAUGAUAGUCUUCCCAACACUCAACUCUCUCUCAUAGGAUUUGUAUCUGGUGGAAAGAAGGUCUGAGUGGUAAUCAACUUGGGGAAGGCUAGAGAUCAAGAUUCAUAUGGUAGGAAUGGAAUAUCUUGGCCUCAACACAUGAGUAGGUGGUUCUCUCUAAGAAAUGGUAAGUUGGAAGUGUAGGUUUAGUCUGAUGGCUCUCUCCACGAAUGAAGAGGAGGUGGAGGGGUAUAUAUAUAUAGCCUCCACACAAAAUCUAACCGUUACACACAAUUUACCAAACUCGGUGGGACCGAAUCGUUAAACUCGGUUGGACCAAUUUAGUAAACCUAGUGACCGUUAGCGAUUUUCGGGGGGACUGACAUGCAUCUCGGUGAGACCGAUUCAGUUAGGGUUAGGGUAUAACGUAAUCUCGGUAGGACCGAUUACACAAACUCGGUGAGACCGAUUUGGUAAUAAGCUUUCCAGAGAGUUGGUCAGGUAAACUCGGUGGGACCGAUUUGCUCUUUUCGGUGAGACCGAAAUGUUACAAAAAGGUAACAGAGAGUUUACAUUGCAAUCUCAGUGGGACCGAUCGCCCACUUCGGUUAGACCGAAACGUUACGAAGUGAAACAGAGAUAUUACAAUCCCAUCUCGGUGGGACCGAGAUCCCUAUCGGUAAGACAGAUUUGCUUAGGGUUUGUGGCAGUGGCUAUGACUUUUAGAAUCGGUGGCGCCGGAUUGGAAGAAUCGGUGUGGCCGAUUUUGCCUUUGGGUUUAGGUCAUUUGUGGAUGUGGGAAAGUAGUUGAGGGUUUUGGAGCAUAUCAAUAAGCACAUGAAGCAAGAGGCUCAUUAAGCAACACCUCAUCCCUUCUUGAUAGUAUUGGCUUUUCCUAUAGACUCAAUGUGAUCUUGGAUCACUAAAAUGUAAAAUGAAGAGUCUUGAGCUUUUGAGCUUGAGCCAAUCCUUUGUCCUUAGUAUUUUUAGGGAUCCACUUUCAUCAUCCAUGCCAUGCCAUUCAUUGAGCUUUCCUGAAACAAUAGUCUUGGAAUAGCAUUAGCUCAAUGAGCUAUAUGUUGUUAUGAAUUACCAAAACCACCUAGGGAUAGUUGCACUUUCAGCUGUAUUCGGCCCGGCCGGACUUGUUGAUAGUGUAUCCGGUGUGACGUUCAUUGUCACGUGUUGGGGCAGGCCCCCGCGAUCCGUAGAUCGAUCUUGGUUGUCCUGCCUUCUUUUCCAGUAUAUCUUGCAGGUCCUACCUAUUGCCCUGGGCCGUAGUGUAUUGGCGUAGGGGUGCGGGCUGGUAUUCGGGCUGAUACGUCGUUUGAUCCCGGCCACGAGGUGGCCGGUCAGCCAUGUGGCGCUCAAGUCCAUAUUCCUCAGCUGCCAGGACUUCAGUCCAUCUGUCUGUGAGCAGGUCUUGAUCAGCUUGGAGCUGCUGCUGCUUCUUUUUCAGGCUCCUCGCAGUGGCCAUAAGCCGGCGCUUGAAGCGCUCCUGCUCCUCGGGGUCCUCAGGCAGGCCGAACUCGUCGUCGCCGAGGCUAAUCUCAUCUUCGGAGGGGGGCAUGUAGUUGUCCUCCUCCGGAUAUCCGUCCGUGCCUGCUCGUCUGGGCUGACCUGCCCGUCUUCCUGUUCGUCCUGCUUGGAGGCAGGCUGAUCGGGGUUGUAUUCAUCUUCGGCACCAUCCGGAUUGUUUUCGUCUGCUGUGCCGGUAUUGCUGUGGCGGGGCUUGGAGCGGCGCCGACGACACCCAUGCUUUGCUUUCUUCCUUGAGGGGUUAUCCUCCGUUGCCUCACCACCAUUGGUUUCUUUCGGAGUGUCCACCAUAUAUAUAUCAUAUGAGGAGGUUGCUGUCCACCGCCCCGUGGGCGGUGGUUCCUGUUCUUCUCCUACAUCGUUGUCCAUACCGUCGAUGUCUUCGGAGUCGAAGUCAAGCACGUUGGUUAAAUCAUCGACCGUGGCAAUGAAGUGGGUGGUGGGUGGGCAAUGAAUUCCUUCGUCGCCUGCUUCCCACUCGAGCCGGACAUAGUACGGCUAAGAGUCCCCUGACAAAGAGAGAGACUUUAACGAGUUCAGCAUGUCGCCAAAGGGCGAGUGCUGGAAUAUAUCCGCAACGGUGAACUCCAUUACCGAAGCCCAACCAGAUUCGACGGGCUCGGGGGUGCGAGGACUGGAACUUACAACCGGAUACGAGUCCGGGGGUCCGGUGUCAUAGGCUUCCUUGGGGGUGAAGUCCGUGUUCGGCUCUACCGAUGAUGAGUGUGCGGCCUCCGGGGCGGGGUCCAUCCACCCGUCCUCGGGCGACGCAAUCUCCCCCGAUUUAGGUCCGGGGCUCCUACAGGGGUGAUAUCCCGAGCAUUAUCCGACAGCAGGUCGAAGCCGUGCUCAUCAUGACUGUCCGGCGCUCCUAGCAUAGGCCCGAAUCCGUUGAAGAUCAAGUCUCCACGGAUAUCGGCCGUGUAGUUCAAGUUUCCGAACCUGACCUGAUGGCCAGGGGCAUAGCUGUCGAUCUUCUCCAGAUGGCCAAGCGAAUUGGCCCACAGUGCGAAGCCGCCGAACACGAAGAUCUGUCCGGGGAGAAAAGUCUCACCCUGGACCAUGUUGUUGUUGACGAUUGAAGGAGCCAUCAAGCCUUGCAGCGACGACACAGAGGAACUCUCAAUGAAAGCACCAAUGUCGGUGUCAAAACUGGCGGAUCUCGGGUAGGGGGUCCCGAUCUGUGCGUCUAAGGCUAGUGGUAAUAGGAGGCAGGCACACGAUGUUUUACCCAGGUUUGGGCCCUCUUGAUGGAGGUAAAACCCUACUUCCUCCUUGAUUGAUAUUGAUGAUAUGGGUAUUACAAGAGUUGAUCUACCACGAGAUCGUAGAGGCUAAACCCUAGAAGCUAGCCUAUGAUGAUUAUGAUUCUGUCCCUAAGGACUAAACCCUCCGGUUUAUAUAGACACCGGAGAGGGCUAGGGUUUACACAGAGUCGGUUACAAAGAAGGAAAUACAAUAUUCAGAUCGCCAAGCUUGUCUUGCACGCAAAGGAGAGUCCCAUCCAGACACGGGAUGAAGUCUUGAGUCUUGUAUCUUCACGGUCCAACAGUCCUGCCAAAGUAUAUAGUCCGGCUGUCCGGAUACCCCCUAAUCUAGGACUCCCUCACCCAUAUUAAUAAAAGCCCCACGAUAAGGGGAACAUGAUCUCUGCUUCUACGAGACGUGCCCGAGAAACCGCCUCGCAAUGUGUGCGAUGGUUGGUUGUGGAGAGACGGUUCAAUAAUGACUCGACCGUAGUGUUAUGUCAUGUUAUCUAAAGAUGUCAGCAGGUUAUAUUUGUGGGAUAUCAUUCUCCCGAUGACGGCAUGUGAAGAUAGUCUUGCAGAUCCGGACACAAUUUAAGUGUUCGGUAAUUACUUUGGAGUAUUCGGAGAUGGAACCCGCCUUGCAAUGCCGAAGACAAAUCUACGUGCCGGACUCAUCGUCAUUGAAGCUUGGUUCAGGGGCUACUGAGGGAGUCUUGGAUUAGGGGGUAUCCGGACAGCCGGACUAUAUACUUUGGCCGGACUGUUGGACCGUGAAGAUACAAGACUCAAGACUUUGUCCCGUGUCCGGAUGGGACUCUCCUUUGCGUGGAAGACAAGCUUGGCGAUCCGGAUAAUAAAUUUCCUUCUUUGUAACCGACUAUGUCUAAACCCUAGCCCCCUCCGGUGUCUAUAUAAGCCGGAGGGUUUAGUCCUUAGAGACACAAUCAUAAUCAUCAUAGGCUAGCUUCUAGGGUUUAGCCUCUAUGAUCUCAUGGUAGAUCAGCUCUUGUAAUACUCAUAUCAUCAAGAUCAAUCAAGCAGGAAGUAGGGUUUUACCUCCAUCGAGAGGGCCCGAACGUGGGUAAAACAUCAUGUCCCUUGCCUCCUGUUACCAUUAGCCUUAGACGCACAGAUCGGGACCCCCUACUCGAGAUCCGCCGGUUUUAACACCAACAGAGCCCACCACGGCAUCACAACGAGAAGCUUUACAGACUACCUUUCGUCAUGAUAAUAUGUACCACUUGUCCCCCUUCAAAAUUGGCCAAUGUUGGAUGCCUUCCCACCUUCAAUUGGAGGAAGAGGACCACAGAGAUAGAUCCAGGAUCCAACCCAACCCAAACCCUCACUAGGUCACAUCCACACAAGAACAUACCUCCUGAGGUUGUUCUUCCCCUUGUACUAGUUCACCCUCAGCCCCCGACGAGGCUAAUCCACCACAAAUAAGGAGUAGGGUUUUACACCGCAAGGUGGCCCGAACCUGGGUAAACUGUUGUAUCUCUUUCGUUUCCUGUUCAUCGAGCUAGGCCGUGAGAGCAUCGAGUUGGUUGGAUGGAGAGGUUGAGUUCUUCGCACACGCCCACAGUUCGAACCUUUCUUGGGUCAGCGCAGCCCUGAAUCCGACAACUAUGAUUGAUCCCCUAUACUUGUGGGUCAUCACCCACCCUCGUAGGGCACGCCCCUAGGGCUUGUAGGCCCCUCGGGUGUCCCCUUGACUUGUUUCCAAUGCCAAACGCUCUUAUAUAUACAGAAACCUCAAAAACGAACCCUAGAUUGAAAGUUUCGCUGCCGCAAGUCUCUGUAGCCACGAAAAAUUAAUCUAGGCCCACUCCGAUACCCUGCCGGAGGAGGCCAUCAUCACCGGAGGCCAUGGAGGAGGAAGCCAGAGGGGGCCAUCAUCACCAUGGAGGUCAAGGACUAUAGGGAGAACCUCUCCCCAUCUAGGGGGGCAUGGAGGAGGAAUCAAAAGGGGAGACUCUCUCCCCCUCUCUCUCUCAGUGGCAUCGGAAUGCCGCCGGAGGAACCAUCACCGCGGUGAUCGUCUUCAUCAACAUCACCCUCUUCAUCACCUUCCUCAUCUCUUUUAAGCGGUCCUCUCUCCUGCACCCCACUGCAAUUCCCUACUUGAACAUGCUGCUUUAUGCCACAUAUUAUGAUCCAAUGAUAUGUUGCCAUCCUAUGAUGUUUUGAGUAGAUUUCUUUUGUCCUUUGGGUUGAUUGAUGAUCUGGAUUGGUUUGAGUUGUAUGUUUUAUUUUGGUGUUGUCCUAUGGUGUCUUCUGUGCCGUACACAUGUGAAGGAUUCCCGCUGUAGGGUUGCAAUACGUUCAUGAUUUGCUUAUAGUGGGUUGCUAGAGUGACAGAAGGUUAAACCCGAGUAAGGGGGUUGUUGCGCAUGUGAUAAAGGGGACUUGAUACAUUAAUGCUAUGGUUGGGUUUUUAUCUUAAUGAAUUUAGUAGUUGCGGAUGCUUGCUAGAGUUCCAAUCAUAAGUGCAUAUGAUGCAAGUUGAGAAAGUAUGUUAGCUUAUGCCUCUCCCUAUAUAAAAUUGCAAUAAUGAUUACCGAUCUUGUUAACAAAUUCCUAGGACAAUUCCGCACACCGAUCCAUCAUUAUUCCACACUUGCUAUUUAUAAUAUAUUGUAAUUGUUCUAACUUUAUGUUAACAACACCUAUUUUUAUAUUUUAGUUCUCCGAUACCAUGCAAAGCUAUCCUAUUCAUACCCACAACAUAGUUUUAUUUCUCGUUUCUAGAUGGAAGCAAACCUUCGGUGUACGUAGAGUCGUAUCAGUGGCAGAUAGGACUUGAGAGAAUAUUGAUCUUACCUUUAGCUCCUUGUGGGUUCGACACUCCAUACGUAUCACUUCCACCUCUGGAAAUUGAUACGAUGGUUCCCUGUACUUGGGGAUUAUCAGCUGCCUCCAGCACUGCCGCCCCUGCAGCCGCAUCAAACCGCCUUGCCGAUCCAAGCCGGUGAUGCUACAGUCGAGCCGCCGCCGUCGUGCCUCGAGCCUGUGACGCUGUGGCCGAGCCCCAGCUAGGCUUAUUCCUGGCCACCGGCCUUCAUCGCCGCCUCUAUAGUCUAGGCCCUGUCUUUGCCGCUGAUCCCGCCUCCAUGGACACCCCGAGCCGCUCCUUCGUCGCGGCCGCGCGAGGCCGCCGCGACCUCGCCUCUUCCACAAACCAUCGACCUCUACCAGCGCCGACCCAGCUCCACCGUAACUCACCUCGCCCCGAGCUGCCCCGAUCCACCGCCUCUCCUCUAUUAUCGUGGCCCGCCUUUGCAACCUUGUCCUCGGGCCACCACCUCCGCCGUGGCCGGCGUCGAGCCAUUGCCUAGAAGCAGCCUUGCCUCGCCGGGCCACCUCUGCAGUAGCCGCUCAGCUCUGUCGUCGCGGUCCCUCGUUAAGCCGCCGCCGCCUUGGCGCUCGCGGCCUCGCCUGCAAGUUGCCGUCCCCCGCAACAACUCACCUCCACCGCUUCGAGCCGCGGCGCUGCCGCGAGCUGCCACCUCAUCGACCCGCCUUGCUAGUUUUAGAACCUCAGUGUGCAAAGGAUGGAAUUGUAACUUGCGUGGGUUUUUGGCCCUCGUCUCAAUAAUGUCACCCUACAGAUUUUUCUUAUGCAUGAAAAAUACAGAGUGAAAAACAUUGUUGUGAUACAACAUGAUUUCCGUGGAUUUCUUAAAGAUAAUAUAGUGGAAGCACCGCUUAAUUGACAUAUUGUCCAAAAUAUCAAUCUUGCUGCUGGUAGUUUCUUCCUAGGAGUUUCUCAUGGUGGGGCAAGUAUUCCAGACAUUGUCAGCGGCAUCCAGGCCACAAGCCUGCCAGGCGCGCCCCUGGGGGGAGGGCGCCCUGAGGGCUUGUGCGCCCCCUCGGCAGUCCUCCAACCCUAAUUCUUGCACUAUAAAUUCCCAAAUAUUACCAAACCACCAGAAGCGUCCACCAAAAUAAUUUUCCGCCGCCGCAAGCCUCUGUUCCCGUGAGAUCUCAUCUUGGGGCAUUUUCCUACACUCUACCAGAUGGGGAUUCGAUCAUGGAGGGCAUCUACAUCAACCUUGCAGCCCUUCCGAUGAAGCAUGAGUAGUUUACCAUAGACCUACGGGUCCAUAGCUAGUAGCUAGAUGGUUCUUGUCUCUCUCUCUCUUUGAUCUUCAACACAAUGUUCCCCUCGAUGUUCUUGGAGUUCAAUACGAUGUAAUAUUCUUUUGCGGUGUGUUUGUCCAGAUCAGAUGAAUUGUGGAUUUAUGAUCAGAUUAUCUAUGAAUAUUAUUUGAGUCUUCUCUGAACUCUUUUAUGCAUGAUUAAAAAUCUUUGUAUUUCUCUUCGAAUUAUUGGUUUGGUUUGCCCAACUAUAUUGGUUCUUCUUGCAAUGGGAGAGGUGCUUAGUUUUGGGUUCAAUCUUGCGGUGUCCUCACCCAGUGACAAAGUAGGGGUAGCAAGGCACGUAUUGUAUUGUUGCCAUCAAGGAUAAAAAGAUGGGGUUUUCAUCAUAUUGCUUGAGUUUAUCCCUCUACAUCAUGUCAUCUUACUUAAGGCAUUACUUCGUUCUUAUGAACUUAAUGCUCUAGAAGCAUGCUGGAUAGCAGUCGAUGUGUAGAGUAAUAGUAGUAGAUGCAGGCAAGAGUCGGUCUACUUGACACGGACGUGAUGCCUAUAUUCAUAAUCAUUGCCUUGGAUAUCAUUAUAACUUGGGGUUUUCUAUCAAUUGCUUGUCAGUAAUUUGUUUACCACCGUAUGUUUUCUUUCAAGAGAGAAGCCUCUGGUGAAACCUAUAGCCCCCGGGUCUAUUUUCCAUAAUAUAUUUUCAGAUCUAUAAACCAAAAAACCCUAAAAUACCUUGUUGCAAUAUAUUUAUAUUUACUUUAGUUUGCUCUUUUAUUUAUCUUUUAUACCUAUCUCUUUUAUCUCACUCUUGCUCGUGACCGUGAAGGGAUUGACAACCCCUUUUUCGCGUUGUGUGCAAGUGUUUGUUAGUUUGUGCAGGUGCAUAGAUUGGAGACUUGCUUGUGCCUCCUACUAGAUUGAUACCUUGGUUCUUAACUGAGGGAAAUGCUUAUCUAUACUUUGCUGCAUCACCCUUUCCUCUUCAAGGGAAAAAUCAACACAAGCCCAAGAAGUAGCAGGAAGAAUUUCUGGCGCCGUUGUCGUGGAGGUUCUACAUCAAGCCUACCAAGUACCCACCAUAAACUCUCAUCUCUUGCAUUAAAUUAUUUGCCAUUUCCCUCUCAUUUUCCUCUCCCCCACUUCAAAAAUGUUUUCAGAAAAACACAAAAAUAUUUUCCUUUUUAGUCGCCCUUCUUGCGUUCGUCUUUUCAUUUGCUCCUGUGCUAGAUUGCUUGCCUUGUCACAAUGUAUCAAGAAAAUACCAAGUUAUGUGACUUUUCCAACACUAAUAAUAAUGAUUUAUUAGUACUCUGAUUGCUCCCGCAACUAGUGCAGAAUCUUACAAAAUUAAUGCCGCUUUGUUGAAUCUAGUUAUGAAAGAGCAAUUUUCCGGCCUUCCUAGUGAAGAUGCCGCAUCCCAUCUAAAUACUUUCGUUGAGUUGUGUGAUAUGGAAAAGAAAAAAGAUGUGGAUAAUGAUAUUGUUAAAUUAAAAGCUAUUUCCGUUCUCUCUACGAGAUGGUGCUAAAACUUGGUUUUCAUCUUUGCCUAAAAAUAGUAUUGAUUCGUGGAAUAAGUGUAAAGAUGCUUUUAUUUCCACGUGUUUUCCUCCCGCAAAGAUCAUCUCCCUUAGGAACGAUAUAAUGAAUUUUAAGCAACUUGAUCAUGAACUUGUUGGACAAUCUUGGGAGGGGAUGAAAUUGAUGAUAAGAAAUUGCCCUACUCAUGGUUUAAGUUUAUGGAUGAUCAUACAAACUUUUUAUGCCAGAUUGAAUUUUGCCUCAGGAAAUAUUUUAGAUGCCGCCAUUUGAGGAAGUUUUGUGGAAAUUACAUUAGGAGAAGCUACUAAACUACUAGAUAAUAUUAUGGCUAAUUACUCUCAAUGCAUACCGAAAGAUCUUCCACUAGUAAAAAAGUGCAUGCAAUUGAAGAAAUUAACACUUUGAGUGGAAAGAUGGAUGAACUUAUGAAAUUGGUUGCUACUAAGAGUGCUCCUAUUGAUCCUAAUGAUAUGCCUUUGUCCAGUUUGAUUGAGAAUAAUAAUGAAUCUAUGGAUGUUAAUUUUGUUGGUAGGAACAAUGUUGGUAAUAAUGGAUAUAGAUGUAAUUUCAACCCUAGGCAGUUUCCCAGUGAUUCCUCUAAUAAUUAUGGUAAUUCCUACAACAAUUCUUAUUGAAAUUAUAAUAAAAUACCCUUUGAUAUUGAGAACAGUAUUAAAUAUUUCAUUUAUUGCCAAAGAUUUUCAAAGCUAUGGUUGAAGAAAAAUUGCUCAAGAUUGAUGAUUUGGCUAGGAACGUUGAUAGAAUUUCGCUUGAGAUUGAUUCUUUGAAAAUUAGAUCUAUGCCACCCAAGCAUGAUAUUAAUGAAUCUUUGAAUGCUAUCAAAAUUUCUAUUGAUGAAUGUAAAGAAAGAACCGGUAGGAUGCGUGCUAAGUGAGAUUGGUUUGUAAAAGCUUGUUCUUCUAGUUUUUGCGCAAAUAAUGAUGAAGAUCUUAAAGUGAUUGGUGUGGGUCCUAUUUAAUCAUUGUUUUGUAACUAAAUCUUGAUAAAGAUGGGACUCAAGAUGAGUCAACUUUAGCUAGAAGGCUUCCCAAUGAUUCAGAGUUUAAAGAACUUAAUGAAAAAAUUGAUAAAAGUGGGAUUGGAGAGGUCAAAACUUUAAGUAGCGAUGAACCCACUAUUUUGGACUUCAAGGAUUUUAAUUAUGAUAAUUGUUCUUUGAUAUAUUGUAUUUCCUUGUUGCAAUCCAUGUUGAAUUCACCUCAUGCUUAUAAUGUGCUUUUACUAAACAUAUCAUUGAUGCUAUGAUGAAAUCUAAUGAAGACAAACUUGAGUUGGAAGUUUCGAUCCCUAGAAAGCUUUAUGAUGAGUGGGAACCUACUAUUAAGAUUAAAAUUAAAGAUUAUGAGUGCAAUGCUUUGUGUGAUUUGGGUGCUAGUGUUUCCACUAUUCUGAUAACUUUAUGUGAUGUGCUAGGUUUCCAUAAACUUGAUGAUUGUUCUUUGAAUUUGCAUCUAGCGGAUCCCACUAUUAAGAAACCUAUGGGAAGGAUUAAUGAUGUUCUCGUUAUUGCAAAUAGGAAUUAUCUGCCCGUAGAUUUUAUUUUGCUUGAUAUAGAUUGCAAUCCUACAUGUCCUAUUAUUGCUGGAAGACCUUUCCUUAGAACAAUUGGUGCAAUUCUUGAUAUGAAAGAACAAAAUGUUAGAUUUGAAUUUCCAUUAAGGAAGGGCAUGGAACACUUUUCCAAGAAUGAAAAUUAAGUUGCCAUAUGAAUCUAUUAUGAGGAAUACUUAUGGAUUUAAUACCAAAGAUGACGAUACCUAGAUCUAUCUUUUAUGACUAGCUCGGGGCGUUAAACAAUAGCGCUUGUCAGGAGGCAACUAAUAUGUUCAUUUUGCAUCAUGUUUACCAAAGAUGACGAUACCUAGAUCUAUCUGUUAUUUACUAUGUUUUUAUGAAUAAUAAUGCUUUUUGGAAUAAUUCUAAUGCCUUUUCUCUCAUAAUAUGCAAGGUUUACACAAAGAGGGAGAAUGUCGGCAGCUGGAAUUCUGGACCUAAAAAAGCCACGUCAGAGUUACCUAUUCUGCACAUCUCCAAAUGAGCUGAAAAUUUACGGAGAAUUGUUUGGAAUAAAAGAAAAAUACCGGAGCAAAUAACUACCGGAGGAGGCCCACCUGGUGGGUGAUGGCUCGUGUCCGCGUCAGUAUUUUCCCCAAAGAGGAAGGGAUAAUGCAGCACAUCUAUGGUAGGUAUUUCCUUGAGUGAUGAGACCAAGAUUAUCGAACCAGUAGGAGAACCAUGCAACACUAUGUAAAUGGUACCUGCACACAAAGAACAAAUACUUGCAACCUGACGUGUAAGAGGGGUUGUCAAUCCUUCCCGGGUAAAAGAUAGAUAAAAUUGUAGUAGAUUGGAUAAGUAGAUCUCGCGUGAACGCGAGAUAAAAUAAAUAAUAAAAAAAUUGCAUAAAGGUAUUUUUGGGUUUUUGGAUUAAUAUAUCUGAAAAUAAAAGAGGCAAAUAAUAGAUCGGAAAGCAAAUAUGAUAAAGAAGAGACCCGGGGGCCAUAGAUUUCACUAGUGGCUUCUCUCAAGAAAAAUAGCAUAUGGUGGGUAAAGAAAUUAAUGUUGGGCAAUUGAUAGAACUUCAAAUAAUUAUGAAAAUAUCCAGGCAAUAAUCAUUAUAUAGGCAUCACGUCCAAGAUUAGUAGACCGACUCCUGCCUGCAUCUACUAAUAUUACUCCACACAUUGCCUGCUAUCCAGCAUGCAUCUAGUGUAUUAAGUUCAUGGAAAAACGGAGUAAUGCAAUAAGAACGAUGACAUGAUGUACACAAGAUCUAUUCAUGUAGGAAUACACCCCAUCUUGUUAUCCUUAAUGGCAACAAUCAAUACGUGUCUUGCUGUCCCUUCUGUCACUGGGAAAGAACAAUGCAUGACCGAACCCAUCACAAAGCACCUCUUCCCAUGGCAAGAAAAAUCAAUCUAGUUGUCCUAACUAAGCCAAAGAUUCGAAGAAAAACUACGAGGCUAUAAUUAAUCAUGCAUAUAAGAGAUCCAAACUCAAAUAACUUUCAUGGAUAAAAUAGAUCUGAUCAUAAACUCAAAGUUCAUCGGAUCCCAACAAACACACCGAAAAAAGUGUCACAUCAAAUAGAUCUCCAAGAGACCAUUGUAUUGAGAAUCAAAAUAGAGAAAGGAAGCCAUGUAGCUACUGACUACGGACCCGUAUGUCUACAAUAAACUACUCACGCAUCAUCGGAGAGGCACCAAUGAGGAUGAUGAACCCCUCCAUGAUGCUGUCUAGAUUGGAUUUGGUGGUUCUGGAACUUGCGGCGGCUGGAAUUGUGUUUUUCGUCGACUCCCCUAGGGUUUUUGGAUUUUCGGGGUAUUUAUAGAGCAAAGAGGCGGUGCAGGAGGCCACCGAGGUGGGCACAACCCACCAGGGCGCGCUUGCACCCCCAGUCGCGCCCAAGUGGGUUGUUCCCCCCUCGGGGCACCCCUGUGGUACUUCGUUGGCCCAACUUGUCCCUUCUGGUCUAGAAAAAAUCUCGAAAAAGUUUUUCUGCGUUUGGACUCCGUUUGGUAUUGAUUUCCUACGAAGUAAAAAAACAAGUAAAAAACAACAACUGGCACUGGGCACUGUGUCAAUAGGUUAGUCCCAAAAAAUGAUAGGUUUGUCCCAAAAAUGAUAUAAAGUUGCUAUAAAAUGAUUGUAAAACAUCCAACAAUGAUAAUAUAACAACAUGGAACAAGCAAAAACUAUAGAUACGUUGGAGAUAUAUCAGUGGGCACAACCCACCUAAGUGCGCGAGGCCCCCAUGCGCACCCUGGUGGGUUCUGCCCUCCUCGGCCCACCUUCGGUGCCCCUCUUCUAGUAUAUAAGUCAUUUUUACCUAGGAAAAAAAUAAGGGGAGGACUUUCGGGAUGGAGCACCGCCGUCUCGAGGUGGAACUCGGGCCGGAGCACUUUUGCCCUCCGGUGGAGCGAUUCUACCGGGGGAACUUUCCUCCCGGAGGGGGAAAUCGUCGUCAUCAGCAUAACCAACAACCCUCUCAUCUUUGGGAGGGUAAUCUCCAUCAACAACUUCAACAAUACCAUCUCCUGUCAAACCCUAGUUCAACUCUUGUGUUCAAUCUUUGUACCGAAACCUCAAAUUGGUACCUCUGUGGGUGACUGAUAGUGUUGAUUACAUCUUGUAGUUGAUUACUAUAUGGUUUAUUUGGUGGAAGAUUAUAUAUCCAGAUCCAUUAUGCUAUUUAAUACCCCUCUGAUUUUGAGCAUGAUUAUCAUUUGUGAUUAGUUACUUUUGUUCUUGAGGUCACGGGAGAUAUCUUGCUGCAAGUAAUCACGUGAACUUGAUAUGUGUUCGAUAUUUUGAUGAUAUGUAUGUUAUGACUCCCUUAGUGGUGUCAUGUGAACGCUGACUACAUGGCACUUCACCAUAUUUGAGCCUAAGGGAAUGCAUUGUGGAGUAAUUAGUAGAUGAUGUGUUGCUAGAGUGAUAGAAGCUUAAACCCUAGUUUAUGCGCUAUUUCAUAAGGGACCGUCUUGGAUCCAAAAGUUUAAUGCUAUGGUUAGUGAUGUCUACUAUGCAACCUUCUUCUUGUAGACUCGUGUUGGGCCUCCAAGCGCAGAGUUUUGUAGGAAAGUAGAAAAUUUCCCUCAGGUGGAUGACCUAAGUUUUAUCAAUCCGUGGGAGGUGUAGGAUGAAGAUGGUCUCACUCAAUCCAUGGGAGAACAUAAGAUGAAAUUGCUUGUAGGGUACGAAACCACCUCAAAGUUAUUCUUUUCGAUCAUUCCGUUGAGCUAUUCCUAUAAGUGUCACAAACAACCCUAGAGUUCGUAGUAAAAUAACACCAUAUGACACACAUCAAUCAACCCUAAUGUCACCUAGAUACUCUAAUGUCACCACAAGUAUUCGUGGGUAAAUUAUAUGAUAUGCAUCAAACAACUGCAGAUUCAUAAUAUUCCAACACAAAGAACCUCAAAGAGUGCCCCAAGAUUUCUAUCGGAGAAAUAAGGAUGAAAAUGUGCAUCAACCCCUAUGCAUAGAUUACCCCAAUGUCACCUCGAUAAUCUGUGAGUUGAGUGCCAUAACAUACAUCAAGUGAAUCAAUAGAAUACCCCAUUGUCACCACGGGUAUCCCACGCAAGACAUACAUCAAGUGUUCUCAAAUCCAUAAUAGUAUUCAAUCCGAUAAUAGUGAAACCUCAAAAGUAAAACUCAAUUCAUCACAAGAAGGUAGAGGGGGGAGAAACAUCAUAUGAUCCAACUAUAGUAGCAAAGCUCGCGGUACAUCAAGAUGGUGCCAAAUCAAGAACAUGAGAUAGAGAGAGAGAGAGAGAAAGAUCAAACAGAUAGCUACUGGUACAUACCCUUAGCCCCGAGGGUGAACUACUCCCUCCUCAUCAUGGAGAGCACCGCGAUGAUGAAGAUGGCCACCGGUGAUGGUUUCCCCCUCUGACAAGGUGCCGGAACAGGCUCCCUAUUGGUUUUUUGUGGCUAUAGAGGCUUGCGGCGGCGGAACUCCCGAUCUAGGUUUAUUUCUGGGGUUUUCUCUAUUUAUAGGAAUUUUUUGGCAUUGGCGGCAAGUCAGGGGGUCCAUGAGGCAACGAUAAGGUAGGGGGCACGCCCUAUGGGGGGGAGCCCUCCACCCUUGUGGAUGUCUCGUGGCUCCCUUGGUCCAUCUCCGAUACUCCGUGGGCUUCUUCUUGUCCAUAAAAAAUCAUCGUAAAGUUUCAGCUCAUUUGGACUUCGUUUGGUAUUCCUUUUCUGUAAAACUCAAAAACAAGGAAAAAACAUAAACUGGCACUGGGCUCUAGGUUAAUAGGUUAUUCCAAAAAAUAAUAUAAAAUAGCAUAUUAAUGCAUAUAAAACAUCCAAGAUUGAUAAUAUAAUAGCAUGGAACAAUAAAAAAAUUAUAGAUACGUUGGAGACGUAUCAAGCAUCCCCAAGCUUAAUUCCUGCUCGUCCUCGAGUAGGUAAAUGAUAAAAACGGAUUUUUUGUUGUUGAAUGCUACAUAACAUAUUUAUAAAUGUAAUGUUCUCUAUUGUGGCAAGAAUAUUCAGAUCCAUAAGAUUCAAAGCAAAAGUUUAAUAUUGACAUAAAAACAAUAAUACUUCAAGAAUACUAAUAAAGCAAUCACGUCUUCUCAAAAUAACUUGGCCAAAGAAAGUAUAGUCUGGCUAUGCUCCAUCUUCAUCACACAAAAUAUUCAAAUCAUGCACAACCCCGAUGACAAGCCAAGCAAUUGUAUCAUACUUUUGAUGCUCCCAAACCUUUUCAACUUUCACACAAUACAUGAGCAUGAGCCAUGGAUAUAACACUAUAUGUGGAAUAGAAUAUGGUGGUUGUGGAGAAUAAAAAAAGAAGGAGAUAGUCUAACAUCAACUAGGCAUAUCAACGGGCUAUGGGGAUGCCCAUCAAUAGAUAUCAAUGUGAGUGAGUAUGUAAUGCCAUGCAACGGGUGCACUAGAGCUAUAAGUUUAUGAAAGCUCAAAAGAAAACUAAGUGGGUGUGCAUCCAACUUGUUGCUCACAAAUACCAAGGGAUAUUUGAGGAAGCCCAUCAUUUGAAUAUACAAGCCAAGUUAUAUAAUGAAAAAUUCCCACUAGUAUAUGAAAAUGACAACAUAGGAGGCUGUUUAUCAUGAAGAUCAUGGUGCUACUUUGAAGCACAAGUGUUGAAAAAGGAUAGUAACAUUGCCCCUUCUCUCUUUUCUCUCAUUUUUUGAUUGUCUUCUUUGGACUCUCCUUUUUUUUUACUUCCUCACAUGGGACAAUGUUCUAAUAAUGAUGAUCAUCACACUUCUAUUUACUUACAACUCAAGAAUUACAACUCGAUACUUAGAACACAAUAUGACUCUAUAUGAAUGCCUCCGGCGGUGUACCAGGAUGUGCAAUGACUCAAGAGUGACAUGUAUGAAAAUUAUGAAUGGUGGCUUUGCUACAAAUACAAUGUCAACUACACGCUCGUGCAAAGCAAUAUGACAAUGAUGAAGCGUGUCAUAAUAAAUGGAACAGUGGAAGUUGCAUGGCAAUAUAUCUCAGAAUGGCUAUGGAAAUGCCAUAAUAGGUAGGUAUGGUGGCUGUUUUGAGGAAGGUAUAUGGUGGGUGUAUGGCACCAGCAAAAGUUGCAUAGUACUAGAGAGGUUAGCAAUGGUGGAAGGGUGAGAGUGCAUAUAAUCCAUGGACUCAACAUUAGUCAUAAAGAACUCACAUACUUAUUGUAGAAAUCUAUUAGUCAUCGAAACAAAGUACUACACACAUGCUCCUAGGGGGACAGAUUGGUAGGAAAAAACCAUCGCUCGUCCUCGACCGCCACUCAUAAGGAAGACAAUAAAUAAAUAAAUCAUGCUCCAACUUAGUUACAUAAUGGUUCACCAUACGUGCAUGCUACGGGAAUCACAAACUUCAACACAAGUAUUUCUACAAUCCACAAUUACUCACUAGCAUGACUCUAAUAUCACCAUCUUUAUAUCUCAAAAUAAUCAUAAGGAAUCAAACUUCUCAUAGUAUUCAAUGCACUUUAUAUGAAAGUUUUUAUUAUAUCCCUCUUGGAUGUCCAUCAUAUUAGAACUAAAUUCAUAACAAAAGCAAAUUACCAUGCUGUUUAAAGACUCUCAAAAUAAUAUAAGUGAAGCAUGGGAGUUCAUGAAUUUCUUCAAAAUAAACCAUCGUCGUGCUCUAAAAAGAUAUAAGUGAAGAACUAGAGCAACUACCCAGGUCAAAAGAUAUAAGUGAAGCAUAUAGGCUAUUCGAAUAAUUUCAUGAUUCAUGCGUGUCCCUGUCAGAAGGUGUGCUCGGCAAGUAUGAUUGUGGCAAACUAAAAAGUAAAGACUCAUAUCAUACAAGACGCUCCAAGAAAAACACAUAUCAUGUGGUGAAUAAAAAUAUAGCCUGAAGUAAAGUUACCUAUAGACAAAGACGAAAGAGGGGAUGCCAUCCGAGGCAUCCCCAAGCUUAGGCUCUUGGUUGUCCUUGAAUAUUACGUCGGUGUGCCUUGGCAUCCCCAAGCUUAGGCUCUUGCCAGUCCUUAUUCCGUAGUCCAUCAAAACUUUACCAAAAACUUGAAAACUUUACAACACAAAACUCAACAGAAAACUCGUGAGAUCCGUUAGUAUAAUAAGGCAAAUCACCACUUAGGUACUGUUAUGAACUCAUUCCAAUUUUAUAUUGGUGUUAUACCUACUGUAUUCCAAUUUCUCCAUGGUUCAUACACUCUGAUACUACCCAAAGAUUCAUCAAAAUAAGUAAACAACACAAUGAAAACAGAAUCAAUCAAAAACAGAUCAGUCUGUAGUAAUCUGGAAACUUCGUAUACUUAUGUAACUCCAAAAAUGCCUAAAAAAUAGGACAAUCUAGGCAAUUUGUAUAUUAAUCAUGUGUCAAAAAUUCAGAUCAAAAGCACGUUCUAGUGAAUCUUGAAAAUUCCUGGACUGAGCACAAAAGUUCCUUUUUUGCACAAAAUCAAGUCAACUAUCAUCCACACUAUCCCAAAAGUCUUACUUGGCUCUUUAUUGAAACAGAAGCUAUAAAACAUGAUUAUUAUAGUAGCAUAAUCACGUGGACACAACAAAAAACAAUAGGGGUAAAUGUUGGGUUGUCUCCCAAAAAGCGCUUUUCUUUAGUGCCUUUCUAGCUAGGCAUGACGAUGUCAAUGAUGCUCACAUAAAAGAUAAGAAUUGAAACACAAUGGGAGCAUCAUGAAGCAUAUGACUAGCACAUUUAUGUCUAACCAUCUUCCUAUGCAUAGGGAUUUUGUGAUCAAACAAUUUAUGGGAACAAGAAUCAACUAGCAAAGGAGGGCAAAACAAGCAUAACUUCAAGAUUUUCUACACAUAGAGAGGAAACUUGAUAUUAUUGCAACUCCUACGAGCAUAUAUUCCUCCCUCAUAAUAAUUUUCAGUAGCAUCAUGAAUUAAUUCAACAAUAUAACCAUCACAUAAAGCAUUCUUUUCACGAUACAUAAUCAUAGAAUUUUUAUUACUUUCCACAUUAGCAAAAUUCCUCUCAUUCGGAAUAGUGGGAGCAAACUCAACAAAAUAACUAUCAUGUGAGUCAUAAUCCAAUUGAAAAUUAAAAUCAAGAUGAAAAUUUUCAUGGUUAUCAUUAUUCUUUAUAGCAUACAGGCAAGGAGUGAAGCGACAAUGAUAAAUGGCUACGAGGUUUUAUUAAAACAUGCGGAUGCAAUGCACAUGAUGCCAUGAUGAAAUGCAACAAGCAAAAAUAAAUCACAUGACAAAACUCAGAAUAGCUGGAAGUCUUAUGGAGAGUCGGUCUUGGGGUGUUACACUCACAUUGGUAUCUAUUGAUGGGCAUCUCCAUAGCCCGUUGAUACGCCUAGUUGAUGUCAGACUAUCUCCUUCGUUUUUUCUUCUCCACAACCACCAUAUUCUGUUCCACCUAUUUGUGCUAUGUCCAUGGCUCACGCUCAUGUAUUGCGUGAAAGUUGAAUUUUUUUGAGAAUACUAAAGUAUGAAAGAAUUGCCUGGCUGAAACUGGGUUGUGCAUGAUUUGAAUUUUUUUGAUGAAGAUGGAGCACAGCGAGACUAUAUGAUUUCGUAGGGAUAAGCUUUCUUUGGCCAUGUUAUUUUAAGAAGACAUAAGUUCCUUGUUAGUAUGCUUGAAGUAUAAUUGUUUUUAUGCCAAUAUUAAACUUUUGUUUUGAAUCUUAUGGAUCUGAACAUUCAUGCCACAAUUUAAAAAAUUAUAUGGAUAAAUAUGUUAGGUAGCAUUGCACAUCAAAAUUUAUGUUUUUAUCAUUUACCUACUCGAGGACGAGCAGGAAUUAAGCUUGGGGAUGCUUGAUACGUCUCCAACGUAUCUAUAAUUUUUGAUUGUUCCAUGCUAUUAUAUUAUCUGUUUUGGAUGUUUUAUAUGCAUUAAUAUGUUAUUUUAUAUUAUUUUUGGGACUAACCUAUUAACCUAGAGGCCAGUGCCAGUUCCUGUUUUUUCCUUGUUUUUGAGUUUCGCAGAAAAGGAAUACCAAACGGAGUCCAAACAGAAUGAAACAUUUGCGAUGAUUUUUCUUGGACCAGAAGACAACCAGGCGACUUAGAGAUGAAGUCGGAGGAGCCACGAGGCUCCCCGUGACCAUCCUGACCUAGUUCUUUCGCCUAUAUAUUCCCAUAUAUCCCCAAACCACCAGAGGCAUCCACAAAAACACUUUUCCACCGCCGUAACCUUCUGUACUCAUGAGAUCCCAUCUAGGGACCUUUUCUAGCACCUUGCUGGAGGGGGAUUCGAUCACGGAGGGCUUCUACAUCAGCAAGGCACGUAUUGUAUUGUUGCCAUCAAGGAUAAAAAGAUGGGGUUUUCAUCAUAUUGCUUGAGUUAAUUCAUCUACAUCAUGUCAUCUUACUUAAUGCGUUACUCCAUUCUUUAUAAACUUAAUACUCUAUAUGCAUGCUGGAUAGCGGUCGAUGUGUGGAGUAAUAGUAGUAGAUGCAGAAUCAUUUCAAUCUACUUGACACAGACGUGAUGCCUAUAUUCAUGAUCAUUGCCUUAGAUAUCGUCAUAACUUUGCGACUUUCUAUCAAUUGCUCGACAGUAAUUUGUUCACCCACCGUAUUAUUUGCUAUCUUCAGAGAAGCCUCUAGUGAAACCUAUGGCCCCAGGGUCUAUUUUCCAUCAUAUAAGUUUCCGAUCUACUAUUUUCCAUCAUAUUAGUUUCCAAUCUACUAUUUUGCAAUCUUUUACUUUUUGAUCUAUAAACCAAAAAUACCAAAAAAAUUACUUUACCGUUUGUCUAUCUCUAUCAGAUCUCACUUUUUCAAGUAACCGUGAAGGGAUUGACAACCCCUUUAUCGCGUUCGGUGCAAGUUGUUUGAUUGUUUGUGCAGGUAUUCGGUAAUUUGUGCGUUGUAUCCUACUGGAUUGUUAUCUUGGUUCUCAAACUGAGGGAAAUACUCAUCUCUACUUUGCUGCAUCACCCUUUCCUCUUCAAGGGAAAAACCAACGCAAGCUCAAGAAGUUGUAGGACCCUCGAGCGCACCUACCAGGCCACAGCGGUUGAGUACUCAGAUGAUGAGGGCGCCAUCCAUCCCCCUGAGGUCAUCCCCAAGAAGAAGAAGCUGCUAGUCCUUAGUGGAUCUCAGGAGGGUGGGGUAUCUGAUGAUCGUGCCUCAGGACCUACGCCCACUGUUGGGGUGCCUUCCUCUCUCGCAUAGGAAGGCGCGCCCGACGCCCCUCUCAGGUUGGGCUUGGGGGCUCUCCUCUGGAGGGCCUCUGACCUAGCCGGCGUCACAAGGGAGGCAUUCGGGCACCGUGUGGAGGCGAGCUUCAACGCGCGCUUCCACGAACAGGGCGCAGGGCGCGAGGCGCCAGACGCUUAGGAGUUCAUUGCCAAGGCAAUUUAGGAGGUUGAGGAGGCGCAAGCCAUGCAUGGCAAGCGUCGCCCCGCACCACCCAGUGCAGCUGCCGCCGUUGACGUGGGUAACGAGCUAUGCGUCUGUGUCAACAUCCUAGGACUCAACAAGGCUGCUUCUUAGGAGCUCUUCUGUCCGUCCUGCGUCGGCCGGUGUCGAGGCCAGCCUCACAACUAUGUCCGCAAGCCUUUUUGUUUGCCGGACACAGCUACCUUGCACCAGUGCCACAUGCAGGGUGUCCUGGCGGCUCACGAGGCCAUACGCGAGGCAAUCCUGACGGAGGAGGUGUCGGACCCUUGCGAGCCCCCCGGACCUCUGGAGCCUCAUGAGGCUAAGGAGCCGGACAACUCAUGAGGAGUGACUUCUCCGGCAUGCAUCUUCAACUACUCCAAUAAUUCUUCAGUGAUGGUGCCAGGUGACUUUUUGGUUUGUUCAACUGAGGGCGCCCCUUGGGCUGCAUUAUACUCAAGCUACUAGGGCCAGUCCCACAGCCGCACCAUUUUGAUUCAUGUAUUCCGGACCAGUAUGCAUGCCUGUGUUAUCAUGGUUACCCAACGUUACCCCUGCCGUCUAGUUAUCUAUGGAUUCGCCCCUCGUGGCCUUUAUGCAUUGCUAACACGCCUGUUGCUCAUCCCGCAACGGGGGCUACUAGCACGGUGCCUGUGCUCGGGUCCGUCCCUGCAGCACUGAUAAAUCCGAGAGACUGAGAUCUGGCUCGCGGCCAACCCUACACACAUCACCUCACCCAUUCCUCAGUGCCUUUGUUUUCUUACGGAAAGAUCACCGGCAGGACAGCAAGCACGGCUAUGUUUUCUUUCUUCGGCUAACUUAAAGGGACCUCCAGAGCCGGGAUCACGAGCGGCCCCACUAGCACCUCGAGUCGCAACCCCUCGCAAGGCAAGCCACUCCCCUUAUCACGCAAAUCGCUUGCAUGUUAGGGGGGGCUGAGCAACAAGCCUCAGGAGCUCCUACGGGCUAUUGAGCCCUCACCCCCAGGCCUUGACCAAGGCAUCACGACCUGGCAUACCAACGGUGGCUGAGACUCACUCGAGGGCCUGUACCCGAGGACGUAGAGCAUCCAGAUGAGCAAGGAAGAAGGGGUCGGCAGGAGUCUUGCCUGGGAGCGCCACCGCCACCAGAACACAGCCAGCCGGCCCACCAACAGCUGUCCUCACAGCGAAAGGAUCACCGUAGGCUCGCCAAGAUAAGUCACCCCAUACAUGCAGUCGUGAGCCUUACGAUCAAUGUUUUGCCUCUCACGAUCUGGUUCAGGCAAGGAUGCUUCCCUUUCAGUCUUUCGGAAGCCGCUUGUGAGCCAAUGGGGACCCCCUGAGCAUCGUGCCUCAGGGGCUCUUACUGGACCUCGGGCCACUCACCUCCUGGCCUUGACCACGGCAUCGCGACCUGGCAUACCAGCGAUGUUUGAAGCCUGCCUAGGGAGUCGGCGUAGAGCACUAAGCUACUGUGAGGAUGAAAGGGAGAACCAUGCUACAACAAGAAGCACAAAUACAACAUUGAUUGGAAAUAAUAAUCAGUAAGGUAAAAGCGCCAUAAUUUUUUACAUACCCCUGUGGGGCCCUACAUGGUUUCCUACAAGAACGAAGCAAAACAAAGAAGGUCUCCCAAGGACCGCACAAUAAACAACGUCGUCCACGACGUCAAGCUGGCACCUGCCCCCACUAGGCUCGGCUGCGGCGACGUGGCGGCUCGUAGCUGUCAUCGUCACUCAAGCCAUGCCCUAAGGAGGCAUUGCUGCUGUCGGAAGAACCUUUGAAAAGGCCAAGGGCAAGUUCACCGCCGGCGGCCUCGUUGCCUCGACCACCUCCCCUGGAGCAGCAUCCUAGGAGCCGACCAUCCUCGCCGAAGACCUUGAAGGAGAGUGUUGAUGCCCCGUCAUACCCGAAGUGAAUGGCGUGACCUCCCUCCAGGUGGCAGGCGCGGACGAUCGCGCCCCUCCUCGAGUCAUGAAGACGUCGCCGGAAUUGACGACCUCGACCUCCGCUUCUGAAGUCUAGCCGCAUCAUCCAUCAUGCUGCAGCCAUAACUCCACAGGCCCCCUCGGUGGUAUCUCCCUUGCAAGGGACCGCGGGAGACGGAUUCAUGUGCGCGGCGGCAUUGCCGCCCACACCACAAAAUUGCGGGUCGUGCCUUUGUCGUCGGUCCGCGAGUGAGGUGGCCGAGCAGCCACCGACUGUUCUCCUCCGUGACCCCGCUCCUCGCGGUGCUGGUCAACGCUCCUACGCGCGGGGUUCUGUGCGUGUGCAUACACGGGGACCGGGAAGCCCGACAAAGGCUGUUCAUGCAAAGGUCGCGUCACCAUGGGCCCCAUGAUGGCAUCAUGAGUGCGAUCAUGCCUCUUCUUCGGCGGAAGCAGCUCAGGUUCCACCUGAGGGCUUUACCCUUUUCCGCAGCAGAAAACCUUCUCACUAGCGCCAUGGGCUCACUGCCAAGACGGUGGGAUGGAAAGGAAGAAGGAGGAGCAAGCAGCGAGAAGACGGAGAUGAGCAGGGGGCACCGCCCCCUCUCUCGUUUAUAGCCGGAGGAAGACCAACCACCGGCCUCUCACGAUCUCAAGUAAUGAUGGUUUUUCUGCAUGCAGCAGGCAGUUGUUAAGUUGGAAGGUUGCCGAGGCAGCAUGGGGAAGUGGAGACGCCCACGUCCCAUCAAGCGCCACAAGUCGACUCGGUCCGCACGCGAUUGGGUCCUGCGACGCUUUGCCCUUGCCCUUUGGCUUCGCCUUGAAGCCAAGUCCGAGCGCGCCUUGGGACCGGGGGCUACUGUCGGUGUUCUGGGAACUAGGGUACCCAGACUUGCCUGCAUGCAGCCCAUGGCGUGACUCCAUUGAUGGCCUGGUACGGCCCAUAUUCAGCAUCGACAAGACAAGACCCUCACAAGGGGCCAAGCCUCACCAGUCGGUUGACGCCAAGACCUCCGGAGGGAGCGGCCUCCUCAGUCUGUCUCCUGACGAGCAGAGAUUCCUAUGCAAGCACCCAUCUCAUGAGGUACGGGUAACGCAAGCCAUGACGACCAAGGCUAGGCGGGCGCUAGCGGGUGUAGAGCAGCAAGUUUCCUUUUCGGUGCUACGGAGGCAAGAGCAGGCGCGAAGUCCGAGGAAUCAGACAAAGAUUUCCAUUCUCAUGCAACAAGACCAAGACCGCCAAGACGGAUGUCAUCGCCGAACCUUAGGGGAGUCCUGGAUUAGGGGGUAUCCUAACAGCCGGACUAUAUACUUUGGCCGGACUAUUGGACCGUGAAGAUACAAGACUCAAGACUUCGUCUCGUGUCCGGAUGGGACUCUCCUUUCCGUGGAAGACAAGCUUGGCGAUCCGGAUAAUAGAUUUCCUUCUUUGUAACUGACUUUGUGUAAACCCUAGCCCCCUCCGGUGUCUAUAUAAGCCAGAGGGUUUAGUCCUUAGAGACACAAUCAUAAUCAUCAUAGGCUAGCUUCUAGGGUUUAGCCUCUACGAUCUCGUGGUAGAUCAACUCUUGUGUUACUCAUAUCAUCAAGAUCAAUCAAGCAGGAAGUAGGGUACGUUGUUGGUGUCAAAACCGGUGGAUCUCGGGUAGGGGGUACCGAUCUGUCCGUCUAAGGCUAAUGGUAACAGGAGGCAAGGGACAUGAUGUUAUACCCAGGUUCGGGCCCUCUUGAUGGAGGUAAAACCCUACUUUCUGCUUGAUUGAUAUUGAUGAUAUGGGUAUUACAAGAGUUGAUCUACCACGAGAUCGUAGAGGCUAAACCCUAGAAGCUAGCUUAUGAUGAUUAUGAUUCUGUCCCUAAGGACUAAACCCUUCGGUUUAUAUAGACACCGGAGAGGGCUAGGGUUUACACAGAGUCGGUUACAAAGAAGGAAAUACAAUAUCCGGAUCGCCAAGCUUGUCUUCCAUGCAAAGGAGAGUCCCAUCCGGACACAGGACGAAGUCUUGAGUCUUGUAUCUUCACGGUCCAACAGUCCGGCCAAAGUAUAUAGUCCAGCUGUCCGAAUACCCCCUAAUCUAGGACUCCCUGAGUAGCCCCUGAACCAGGCUUCAAUGACGAUGAGUCUUGCGCGCAGUUCGUCUUCGGCAUUGCAAGGCGGGUUCCAUCUCCAAAUACUCCAAUGUAAUUACCGAACACUUGAAUCAUGUCCGGAUCCGCAAGAUGAUUUUCACAUACCCCCGUAGAGAGAAUGAUAUUUCACAAAUAUAAUCUACCGACAACUUUAAAUGAAGCGACACGAAAAAAUGAUCAAGUCAUUAUUGAAUCAUCUUUCCACUACCAGCAACCGCUUCGCACAUCCUGUCGAAGCAAAGAUCAUGUCCCCUUAUCACGGCAUUCUCAUCAAUACGGGUUUGGGUAACCCAACUGCGCCAUCAAUCGUGGCGCUUUGGAAAUAAGCGAUUUCCAAUGGGCAAGUGAGGAGACGCACUAUUUUCGUCGCCUCUAUAAAGGGAUAAGGAUUCCUCAUCUUCACCCACGCCUUCUUCCUCCUCUUCUUAUCCACUCCCACACCCUCGAGCUACAGUGCCCUAGUUCAUGCCUCCUUCACACAGCCAAACAAGUCCGGAGCAGGAGGCAAGUGGGUGGCCUCCACCAUGAAGGAGGAGCAUAUUACGAUGCUCCGGGCGGCCGGAUACUUGGCCGCAGAUAUCGCGCACCGGCUACCGAAUGCAGGGCUGAUCAUUCCAACUCCGGGACCCCACGAGGGUCGUGUUUCUCGCCCACUUCGUCCAUGGACUGGGAUUUCCACUUCAUCCCUUCAUCCGCGGGCUCAUGUUUUACUACGGGUUAGACUUCCAUGAUCUAGCCCCAAAUUUCGUCCUCAACAUCUCGGCGUUUAUCGUCGUGUGCGAGGCCUUCCUCCACAUCAAGCCUCACUUCGGCUUGUGGCUGCGAAUCUUCUGCAUGAAGCCGAAGAUUGUGAGCGGCCAGCAAGCGGAGUGCAGAGGCGCCAUGGUGGGCGGGAUGCCCAACAUUACCUGGCUCGAUGGCUCCUUUGCAGAGACCGUAAAGGGGUGGCAAUUGGGGUGGUUCUACAUCACCGAGCCACGCGACGCCAACCGGGCGGCGGCCCCUGAAUUCCAAUCUGAAAUUCCCAUGCGGUUCACCUCCUGGGAAAAGAAGGGCCUGGCCUAGGGCGAACCUGGGGAGCUGACAGGACUUCAGAACAGCAUCAAGAGUAUGAUGGACAAGAAAAUCAAGCUUGUCAACAUGGUCCAGGUCAUGCUCGUCCGCCGCAUUCUUCCGUGCCAAAGGCGGGCAUUUAAUUUGUGGGAGUUUGUUCCGGACGAACACCAGACACUUCGAGAGCUGAUCAAUUGUAAUAUAGCGGGGUUUUUAUGCCCCAAACUAUGGAUGUCGUGUUCUCCACAGGGACUAGGCUACGAUGACUAUGCUCGGCUAAAUCUAGGCAACAUAAUUCGGGUGAUGGAAACAGAAAAACAAACCUAAACUAGCAAUGAAGGCUCCUGAAGAUUAUAGAGAAAGAAAGAAAGAAACUAGCAUAAUGGGGGUUCAGAUUUUACUCAAUGUUUUUUUUGGAAUUAUCGUUUUACUUGAGAAACCAAAAUACACACACAGGAAAUCAUCAUCGAUAGAGAGGAAAUACCAAUAUAUGAUCACAAAUAUGGCUAGUAGUUAUAUAUAAGAAGAAAAGCACAGAACACAAAUAAUGGGACAGGGACAGAAAUGUUUAACACCACAGAAUUAUGUAUAUAUCACACAGGUAUUACAAACUGAGAAUUACUGUGGCAACUACAACACAUAGGGGGUAAACAUACACAUGCACAGGAGUGAACACACAUAUAUGCUGACAGAGCACUAACUACCAAAGCAACAAAAUAUUACAUAUCAGUUAGUUCCCAUAGCAACAAGACAUACACUAUUCUGAACAUAGAAUUUUACAGAUGAAAACUGAACAAUUGACAAGUUGCAAGCUCUUAUAGAAUCUGAAUAUUUCAAGUACUAAACAUCUCAAAUUACAUAAACUUCAGAGAGAACAACAGCAGUAGGAUGAGUGUGAAGGAGCAACAGAGACGCAAGAAAAGAAGCAGCAGCAGAGACGUGGGAGAAGAAGCAGUAGAAAUAGCAGGUUCAGAGAAGGAACUGAAGGCGUUGGAGAAGAAGAUUAAGAGCAGCAGCAGUUCAGCAGGGGAUUCAGAGGAGGAGCAGCAACAACGGGUGCAAGAAGAGAAGAAAGCACGAAGUUGAGGUUCAGAUUGUGAAGAAGAAGAGCAGCAGUAGUUUGAGGCAAGGGGAGAAGAUAGCAGCGGCAGGAGAAGAUAAGAGGAGCAGAGGCAGGGGCGUGGAGAAGGGAAGAGUAGCAGAGAGGGAGAUAGAUGGAUGGCGAUGGAGGAAGUGGUGGUGGCGCUGGAUGGUACAGGAAGUAGUGGCGCUGGAUGGUAGAGGAAGUGGUGGAGUUAAGGAACGGGUGGAGGUGCUGGGCAGCGCUGGUUGGCGCACCGCCGCGCCGGCCUGUGGAGAUGGAUGGAUGGUUGGGUGGCGCACCACUAUGCCGUCCUGUCCGCGGCGGCGGCCGGAGGUGGAGAAGGAGGUUGGGGGAGAGAGAUGUGUGCCAGGCCUGAAGGGGAUCGAAGGAGAUGGCUAGGGAUUUGACCCCUCUCGAUCAGAUCUGCCACUUUGCACUUUUGCCCUCCUUCUGUCUUCUUCCUUCCCAAGU